GCAGGCGGUCGGAUGGUCGCCGCCCGGUGGGCGCAAGCUACACCGGGGGGAGGAAAGUCCGAACUCCGCAGGGCAGUGUGCCGGAUAACGUCCGGGACGCGAGCGUCAAGGCUCGUGGACGGCCAGUGCAACAGAAAACAGACCGCCAGGUGGCCGCAAGGACACAAGGUAAGGGUGAAACGGUGGGGUAAGAGCCCACCGCGUUGGCAGUAAUGACAACGGCACGGUAAACCCCACACGGAGCAAGACCAAAUAGGCAGGGAGACAAUCGCUCCUCUUCAGGCGAUGUCACGUAGCGGCCCGUUACGGCAAGACGAAGGGAUGUGCGCGAGCACAAGUCGGAACCUGCGGGUAGGUUGCUGGAGCGCAUCAGUAAUGCUGCGCCUAGAGGAAUGACCGUCUAAAACAGAAUUCGGCUUACGGGCCGCCUGCACAA
rnacentral:RNase_P_RNA from 1 species